rnacentral:rRNA from 1 species
AAAAGAUCACGGCUAUACCGUGGAAUUGAAUUUGAUACUGUAUUGCUAUUGUAUAGGAGAGGGAAGUGGAAUUUGUGGUGUAGGAGUGAAACCCGUAGAGAUCCGCAGGAACACAGGUGGCGAAGGCGACUUCCUGGACUAUUACUG